rnacentral:rRNA from 1 species
GUCCUGACAAAUUCUCGUGCCAGCAGUCGCGGUAAUACGAGGAGGGCAAGCGUUAAUCAUAAUAAUUAGGUCUAAAGGGUUUGUAGACGGUUUAAUAAAUUAUUAGUAAUAUAAUAAAAUUGUUAUACUAGAGUAUAUUAUAAGAUAUAAGUAUUUAAUAUGUAAAGGUUGAAUUUAAAUAAAUUAAGGACUAUCUAUGCGAAGGCAUAUAUCUAUAGUAGAACUGACGUUGAGGAACUAAAGCUGGGGUAACAAAGCGGAUUCGAUACCCGCGUAGUCCUAGCCCGAAACUAUGAAUGCUAGUUAUAUUUUAUUUAUAUAACUAAGUGAAGACGGUAAGCAUUCCACCUGGAGAGUACGUUCUCAAGAAUGAAAUCCAAGACAUUAGGCGGUUGUAGGCACCAGCAGUUAAGCAU